rnacentral:rRNA from 1 species
UCAUAUAGCCACCUCUCUCCCUGACAGUCACUUGGAACUCUCAUGUCUGAUCUCGGAAGCUAAGCAGUGUCGGCCCUGGUUGAGUAGUUGGAUGGGAGACCACCUAGGAAGACCAGGUGCUGUAGGUG